rnacentral:rRNA from 1 species
GAUGAACGCUAGCGGCAGGCUUAACACAUGCAAGUCGAGGGGUAACAGGGAAGCUUGCUUCCGCUGACGACCGGCGCACGGGUGCGUAACGCGUAUAGAACCUACCUUUUACAGAGGGAUAGCCUUUAGAAAUGAAGAUUAAUACCUCAUAGUAUUGGAGAUUGGCAUCAAUCACUAAUUAAAGAUUUAUCGGUAAAAGAUGGCUAUGCGUCCUAUUAGCUAGAUGGUAAGGUAACGGCUUACCAUGGCAACGAUAGGUAGGGGUCCUGAGAGGGAGAUCCCCCACACUGGUACUGAGACACGGACCAG